UACAGAGGUGGCAAGCGUUGUUCGGAAUUACUGGGCGUAAAGGGCGCGUAGGCGGCCUGUUAAGUCGAACGUGAAAUCCCCGGGCUCAACCCGGGAACUGCGUCCGAUACUGGCAGGCUUGAAUCCGGGAGAGGGAUGCGGAAUUCCAGGUGUAGCGGUGAAAUGCGUAGAUAUCUGGAGGAACACCGGUGGCGAAGGCGGCAUCCUGGACCGGCAUUGACGCUGAGGCGCGAAAGCCAGGG
rnacentral:rRNA from 1 species